AAAAAUUAAAUAAGGAAAUUUUAUGAAAAAGCACAUAAAUUUACAUUAUUAUUAUUAUUAUUUUGUUAUGAUUCAGUAGUCAUUAGCCUUCUCGCCAACAAAGAGGAAACUUGAUGGUCACAUGGAAAUCGAAGGUUCCACGCAACUGCAACAAAUAAGUCAUCACUGUAAGAAGCAACCGCCAAUGGCCCCGCCAUCGCCUUCCC
rnacentral:lncRNA from 1 species